AUAUAGAUGACGAGUCCCAAAUAGGGCGAAACUCGUGUCAAACAGGAU
rnacentral:hammerhead_ribozyme from 1 species